UUGAACGCUGGCGGCAGGCCUAACACAUGCAAGUCGAGCGGUAGCACAGAGAGCUUGCUCUCGGGUGACGAGCGGCGGACGGGUGAGUAAUGUCUGGGAAACUGCCUGAUGGAGGGGGAUAACUACUGGAAACGGUAGCUAAUACCGCAUAAUGUCGCAAGACCAAAGUGGGGGACCUUCGGGCCUCAUGCCAUCAGAUGUGCCCAGAUGGGAUUAGCUAGUAGGUGGGGUAACGGCUCACCUAGGCGACGAUCCCUAGCUGGUCUGAGAGGAUGACCAGCCACACUGGAACUGAGACACGGUCCAGACUCCUACGGGAGGCAGCAGUGGGGAAUAUUGCACAAUGGGCGCAAGCCUGAUGCAGCCAUGCCGCGUGUGUGAAGAAGGCCUUCGGGUUGUAAAGCACUUUCAGCGGGGAGGAAGGCGUUAAGGUUAAUAACCUUGGCGAUUGACGUUACCCGCAGAAGAAGCACCGGCUAACUCCGUGCCAGCAGCCGCGGUAAUACGGAGGGUGCAAGCGUUAAUCGGAAUUACUGGGCGUAAAGCGCACGCAGGCGGUCUGUCAAGUCGGAUGUGAAAUCCCCGGGCUCAACCUGGGAACUGCAUUCGAAACUGGCAGGCUAGAGUCUUGUAGAGGGGGGUAGAAUUCCAGGUGUAGCGGUGAAAUGCGUAGAGAUCUGGAGGAAUACCGGUGGCGAAGGCGGCCCCCUGGACAAAGACUGACGCUCAGGUGCGAAAGCGUGGGGAGCAAACAGGAUUAGAUACCCUGGUAGUCCACGCCGUAAACGAUGUCGAUUUGGAGGUUGUGCCCUUGAGGCGUGGCUUCCGGAGCUAACGCGUUAAAUCGACCGCCUGGGGAGUACGGCCGCAAGGUUAAAACUCAAAUGAAUUGACGGGGGCCCGCACAAGCGGUGGAGCAUGUGGUUUAAUUCGAUGCAACGCGAAGAACCUUACCUGGUCUUGACAUCCACAGAACUUUCCAGAGAUGGAUUGGUGCCUUCGGGAACUGUGAGACAGGUGCUGCAUGGCUGUCGUCAGCUCGUGUUGUGAAAUGUUGGGUUAAGUCCCGCAACGAGCGCAACCCUUAUCCUUUGUUGCCAGCGGUUAGGCCGGGAACUCAAAGGAGACUGCCAGUGAUAAACUGGAGGAAGGUGGGGAUGACGUCAAGUCAUCAUGGCCCUUACGACCAGGGCUACACACGUGCUACAAUGGCAUAUACAAAGAGAAGCGACCUCGCGAGAGCAGGCGGACCUCAUAAAGUAUGUCGUAGUCCGGAUUGGAGUCUGCAACUCGACUCCAUGAAGUCGGAAUCGCUAGUAAUCGUAGAUCAGAAUGCUACGGUGAAUACGUUCCCGGGCCUUGUACACACCGCCCGUCACACCAUGGGAGUGGGUUGCAAAAGAAGUAGGUAGCUUAACCUUCGGGAGGGCGCUUACCACUUUGUGAUUCAUGACUGGGGUG
rnacentral:rRNA from 1 species